rnacentral:rRNA from 1 species
GACGAACGCUGGCGGCGUGCUUAACACAUGCAAGUCGAACGGAAAGGCCCUGCUUUUGUGGGGUGCUCGAUUGGCGAACGGGUGAGUAACACGUGAGUAACCUGCCCUUGACUUUGGGAUAACUUCAGGAAAAUGGGGCUAAUACCGGAUAGGAGCUCCUGCCGCAUGGUGGGGGUUGGAAAGUUUCGGCGGUUGGGGAUGGACUCGCGGCUUAUCAGCUUGUUGGUGGGGUAGUGGCUUACCAAGGCUUUGACGGGUAGCCGGCCUGAGAGGGUGACCGGCCACAUUGGGCCUGCGAUACGGCGCAGACGGGUACGGGAGGCAGCAGGGGAGAAUCUGGCGCAGUGGGCGGAAGCCUGAUGCAGCAGCGCCGCGUGCGGGAUGACGGCCUUCGGGUUGUAAACCGCUGUCGAAGGUGACGAAGCGUGAGUGACGGUAAUGGGUCAGGAAGCACCGGCUAACUACGUG